rnacentral:rRNA from 1 species
GACGAACGCUGGCGGCGUGCUUAACACAUGCAAGUCGAACGGUGAAGCGCCUUCCUUUUUGGUGGGUGUGGAGGAGUGGCGAACGGGUUAGUAACACGUGAGUAACCUUCCCCCUUCUGCUGGAUAACCGCAUGAAAGUGUUGCUAAUACGGGAUAUUCUGGGUCUCUCGCAUUAUGGGUCUGAGAAGGAUUUUCUUUCGUCAGGGGAUGGGCCCGCGGCCUAUCGGCUUGUUGGGGGGAUGAUGGCCUACCAAGGCGGUGACGGGUAGCCGGCGUGGGAGAGUGGACGGACAGAGAGGGAGUGAGACACGGCACAGACUCCGAAGGGAGGCAGAGGGGGGCAAUAGUGCAAGAUGGGAGCAAGCCUGAGGCAGCGCCGCCGCGUGAGGGAGGGAGGCCGUCGGGUUGUGAACGUCUUUCGAGAGUGAAGCAGGUCAGCGUGGUAUGUGGGUGGAUUGACAGUAGCUGGACAAGAAGCGACGGCUAACUACGUG